CGCUGAACUUAAGCAUAUCAAUAAGCGGAGGAAAAGAAACCAACAGGGAUUACCUCAGUAACGGCGAGUGAAGCGGUAACAGCUCAAAUUUGAAAUCUGGCUCCUCGGGGCCCGAAUUGUAAUUUGUAGAAGAUGCUUUGGGUCUGGGCCUGGCCUAAGUUCCUUGGAACAGGACGUCGUAGAGGGUGAGAAUCCCGUAUGCGGCUGGCGCCCGUGCCCGUGUAAAGCUCUUUCAACGAGUCGAGUUGUUUGGGAAUGCAGCUCUAAAUGGGUGGUAAAUUUCAUCUAAAGCUAAAUAUUGGCCAGAGACCGAUAGCGCACAAGUAGAGUGAUCGAAAGAUGAAAAGCACUUUUGAAAGAGAGUUAAACAGUACGUGAAAUUGUUGAAAGGGAAGCGCUGGCAACCAGACUUGGGCGCUGUUGAUCCGCUAGGUUUCUCUUUAGGGCACUCGGCAGUGCCCAGGCCAGCAUCGGUUUGGGGGGUUGGAGAAUGGCUGGUGGAAUGUGGCUGUCUUUGGGCAGUGUUAUAGCCACCGGUGGCAUGCAGCCUCCCCGGACCGAGGACCGCGCUUCGGUUAGGAUGCCGGUGUAAUGGUUGUCAGCGACCCGUCUUGAAACACGGACCAAGGAGUCUAACAUCUAUGCGAGUGUUUGGGUGUUAAACCCAUACGCGGAACGAAAGUGAACGUAGGUGAGAACCCGCAAGGGUGCAUCAUCGACCGAUCCUGAUGUCUUCGGAUGGAUUUGAGUAAGAGCAUAGCUGUUGGGACCCGAAAGAUGGUGAACUAUGCCUGAAUAGGGUGAAGCCAGAGGAAACUCUGGUGGAGGCUCGCAGCGGUUCUGACGUGCAAAUCGAUCGUCAAAU
rnacentral:rRNA from 1 species